GAUGAAGAACGUAGCGAAAUGCGAUACGUAGUGUGAAUUGCAGAAUUCAGUGAAUCAUCGAAUCUUUGAACGCACAUUGCACCUCUCGGUAUUCCGGGAGGUAUGCCUGUUCGAGCGUCAUUUGUACCCUGAAGCUCUGCUUGGUGUUGGGUGUUUGUUCCGCCUCUGUGUGUGAACUCGCCUCAAAACAAUUGGCAGCCGGCGUACUUGUUUCGGAGCGCAGCACAUUUUGCGAUCCAGAUCAACGUACAGCGGCAUCCAAGAAGCCUUAUUUAACGCUCUUGACCUCGGAUCAGGUAGGGAUACCCGCUGAACUUAAGCAUAUCAAUAAGCGGAGGA
rnacentral:misc_RNA from 1 species